CGUGGACACCUUCAUGUUUGGUGGCACGAGGCAGUCAUUGCUUAACCCUGCUUAAAGAUCAACGACUGGACUGGUCAAGGGUGGCAUGCCUGAGUGGGACAGUAGAAGGCUGUUAUAUACCAACUUUAGACUUCAUUCACCCCUUAACUGACAGGGCACUGGAGGCUACAUGCUCGGUGAACCAGCCGAUUGUCAGUCUUGCAUCACUUAUCAUGCCCCUUUCUCAUACCGAUGUGCAGGUCGGACAUGAGGCAAUAAAAGCUUGGCCCACCAACCACAUGGCUCCUACCGCCCUGUCAGCGUAGAGGUGAAUGGAGCGUAGGGGCGGCAGAGUUGGUGGGGUCUGCCGAGUGCUUCUGGCGUAGCAGUUCGGCAGUGCCGAGCUGUUUGAAGUCAUCACAGAUAUAAACUGCCUGUUGCAGCAACUCACAAUCGCAUUCCUGCCCGUCAUGUCGAACAGCGGAGCGCUAAUUUCAGUUUGAGGUCUGCACUCUUACUACAAUGCAAAUGGUGACAGCAUCAGGCUGCACUCGGCUGACCCAUAAAUUUGCCCCUGCUCUGCAUUGCCCUGCAUGUUCGGGUCAGAUAAUGGUUCCUGUUGACCCGAUGGACUCCUUUGUUCUCUGCAUUCAUCAUAGGUUACAGUCGUGAAUCAUGAACCAAGACUGCACUCUUAGGCCCACUCCUUUUUGGUGGAUCGGGUCUUGCCAUCUUCACCUUUCGUGGCUUCCUGUCGUAAUUAAAUAAAUUGUCAUAUUUUUUUCUGAUGGUGGUGCAUACCUCAUGCCACACUUGACAAAAAUAGUGUGGUGAAUCCAUGCCUCGGAUUACUGUGAAACAUGCGAGAAGGUAAUUAUUGAGAAGAUUAAACUCCGAAAUGUUUGAUGGAAAGACGAUAGAUAUACCCCGUUUAAUAUUUCUGGCCACUUUAAGCAUGCUGUCCCCGAAGUAUUUCAGCCUAUCAUUGCAUCGGCUCUUGACCAUUCACACUUGCAAGGAAAGGCUAUCAGCAAGGGUUUC
rnacentral:lncRNA from 1 species